rnacentral:tRNA from 1 species
UCCCUGGUGGGCUAGUGGUUAGGAUUUGGCGCUCUCACCUCCGCAGCCCGGGUUCGAUUCCCAGUCAGGGAA